rnacentral:rRNA from 1 species
UACGGAGGGUGCAAGCGUUGUCCGGAUUUAUUGGGUUUAAAGGGUGCGUAGGUGGGCAGUUAAAUCAGUGGUGAAAUCUCCGGGCUCAACCCGGAAACUGCCAUUGAUACUAUCUGUCUUGAAUAUCGUGGAGGUAAGCGGAAUAUGUCAUGUAGCGGUGAAAUGCUUAGAUAUGACAUAGAACACCAAUUGCGAAGGCAGCUUACUACCCGAAUAUUGACACUGAGGCACGAAAGCGUGGGGAUCAAACAGG